rnacentral:lncRNA from 10 species
UCUGUGCCCUGCCCCCAGAGGUGGAGCCUACAGAGGCAGGCAGGACUCCUUGAGCUGUGGUGGGCUGGGCCCAGUUGGAGCUUCCCGGCUGCUUUGUUUACCUAAGCAAGCCUGGGCAAUGGCGGGCGCCCCUCCGCCAGCCUCACUGCCGCCUUGCAGUUUGAUCUCAGACUGCUGUGCUAGCAAUCAGCGAGACUCCGUGGGCGUAGGACCCUCCGAGCCAGGUGCCGGAUAUAAUCUCGUGGUGCGCCGUUUUUUAAGCCCGUCCGAAAAGCGCAAUAUUCGGGUGGGAGUGACCCGAUUUUCCAGGAGGGGGAGGAGCCAAGAUGGCCGAAUAGGAACAGCUCCGGUCUACAGCUCCCAGCCUGAGCGACGCAGAAGACGGGUGAUUUCUGCAUUUCCAUCUGAGUGAACAUAGAUUCCUUCAGUAAAUAUUGGGAAAACAUUUGCUUCAGGCCCAUUACUGGGUACCGCUUUGAUACAGAGGACACACCAAGGAACAAGACAGAUAGGACCUCUGCCUCUGGUAAGUUUGCAUUCCAGAGGGAGGAGAAGACAAUAAGCAAGCAAGCCAUCAAGACCACGUCAGAUGAGACGAAUAAAGUCAGACAGCUUCCAAGGAGUGGAUGCUUAUGGAGAGAUCACAUGGAGCCUUGUAGCUGAUUUAUAAUCUCAUGGUCCUCAUUCAUACAUCAAACCCCUGAAGGCCUGGCAUUUUUAUCUCCCGACUCAACCUGCAUGCUACCAGAAGCUCGACAAAAUUACGCCUGUUUAGGAAAAGACUGGAGGAAUUCGUGGAGGAAUUCUUGGAGGGGGAACACUGAAGUCCGAAAUACUAUGUGAAAAGAAAGCACAUGUUCUCCUUUUCUGGCUCGGAAGAAUUUUGGAGUGGAUUUAGGCAGACCAGUCUGAACAAACACGCUCGAGGAGCUGAGGCCCGUCAGCACACGCUCAGCAGCUGUGCAUCCAGAUCCGCGUGCUCUCGGCUUGGCCAAAGCAUUGCAAACAACUGAAGUCCUUGCUGCCAGGCAGAUGGUCACAGGACUGUCAGCAGACCCUGAGAGACCUCAACAAUGCCCACAAACUCUAAACAAAUCUACGCAGAGUCUAAUGGUGUCUGCUUGCUUUGCGGCUCUCCAGACUUCCUAAGUUCUGUUUGGUUCUGUGUGUUUGUUGUAGCUGGGAGAGCAGAACUGACCCUGAUAACCACUACACGUAGAAAACAAGUCUAAUAUCCCCCUAACGGACAACUCAAGUGUCUUUCUUGACUACAUGUGGCCUUCAUGAAAACGAUCUUCCUUAUGAUUCUUCCAAAACCUAUUUCCAGGACCACAUAGUUUAGUACUUAGUAUUAUUUUGUCUUGCAGUACUGGUAGACUACUUCUUAUGAGUUACUCUUGUCUCCCUUAUUGUAUUGUCAGCACCUUAAAAGCAAAAACAGUGGCUUGGGCUUGGGUUCAAGGUCUAGAUCCACCUCUUCCAAGCUGGGUGACCUUAAAUUUGAAUGAUGAUAAUACCUGGAGGGUCAUUGUGAUGAUUACAUGAGAUAAUGUAUGUGAAACACUUAGAAUUCAUGGGAAAUACUCAACAGGUUAUUCUUGUGGUGGUGGUAGUAGCAGUAAUGAUGAUUAUGAUUACAUUAUUAAUACAUUCCAGCUGGGUGUGGUGGCUCGUGCCUGUAAUCCCAGCACUUUGGGAGGCCGAGUAGGCAAAUCACCUGAGGUCAGGAGUUCAAGAUCAGCCCAGCCAACAUGGUGAAAACUCAUCUCUACCAACAAUCCAAAAAAAUUAGCUGAGCAUGGUGGCAUGUGCCUGUAGUCCCAGCUACUUGGGAGGCUGAGGCAGGAGAAUUGCUUGAACUCGGGAGGUGGAGGUUGCCGUGAGCCAAGAUUGCACCACUGCACUCCAGCCUGGGCAACAGAGUGAGAUCCCAUCUCAAAAAAAUGCAUUUCAUAAAGCCCAUUUUAUUUAGGAAAUUUUUGGCCAAUACUGUAUCUAGUCAACAUUUGAUGAUCAAUUAACAA